GAGUUUGAUCGUGGCUCAGAUUGAACGCUGGCGGCAGGCCUAACACAUGCAAGUCGAGCGGUAGGGAGAAGCUUGCCUCUCUUGAGAGCGGCGGACGGGUGAGUAAUGCCUAGGAAUCUGCCUGGUAGUGGGGGAUAACGCUCGGAAACGGACGCUAAUACCGCAUACGUCCUACGGGAGAAAGCAGGGGACCUUCGGGCCUUGCGCUAUCAGAUGAGCCUAGGUCGGAUUAGCUAGUUGGUGAGGUAAUGGCUCACCAAGGCGACGAUCCGUAACUGGUCUGAGAGGAUGAUCAGUCACACUGGAACUGAGACACGGUCCAGACUCCUACGGGAGGCAGCAGUGGGGAAUAUUGGACAAUGGGCGAAAGCCUGAUCCAGCCAUGCCGCGUGUGUGAAGAAGGUCUUCGGAUUGUAAAGCACUUUAAGUUGGGAGGAAGGGCAGUAAAUUAAUACUUUGCUGUUUUGACGUUACCGACAGAAUAAGCACCGGCUAACUCUGUGCCAGCCGCCGACCG
rnacentral:rRNA from 1 species